GUCGAGCGGACUGAUGGGAGCUUGCUCCCUGAUGUUAGCGGCGGACGGGUGAGUAACACGUGGGCAACCUGCCUGUAAGACUGGGAUAACUCCGGGAAACCGGGGCUAAUACCGGAUAACCCGUUCCACCUCAUGGUGGAGCGGUAAAAGAUGGCCUCUGGCUAUCACUUACAGAUGGGCCCGCGGCGCAUUAGCUAGUUGGUAAGGUAACGGCUUACCAAGGCGACGAUGCGUAGCCGACCUGAGAGGGUGAUCGGCCACACUGGGACUGAGACACGGCCCAGACUCCUACGGGAGGCAGCAGUAGGGAAUCUUCCGCAAUGGACGAAAGUCUGACGGAGCAACGCCGCGUGAGUGAUGAAGGUUUUCGGAUCGUAAAGCUCUGUUGUUAGGGAAGAACAAGUGCCGUUUGAAUAAGGCGGCACCUUGACGGUACCUAACCAGAAAGCCACGGCUAACUACGUGCCAGCAGCCGCGGUAAUACGUAGGUGGCAAGCGUUGUCCGGAAUUAUUGGGCGUAAAGCGCGCGCAGGCGGUCUCUUAAGUCUGAUGUGAAAGCCCACGGCUCAACCGUGGAGGGUCAUUGGAAACUGGGAGACUUGAGUACAGAAGAGGAGAGUGGAAUUCCACGUGUAGCGGUGAAAUGCGUAGAUAUGUGGAGGAACACCAGUGGC
rnacentral:rRNA from 2 species